GACAGCAUCCACCCUGCACUGCUUUUUUUCUCUUCACCUUCAAAACAGAGAGAGAGAGAGAGAGAGAGAGAGAGAGAGAGCUCUCACAAGUCCAAAUCAUGCAUUUGAGAAUCUGAAUCAUUCAUAUGGGAGGGAGCUUUUCAAGACAAGGCAACAGAGAGAAAAAGAGGGUUGCCCUAGGAGAAGCAAAAGCAGGCCAAGGGAGGAUAUCCAAUGGAACAUAGACUCGAGUCACUACUUCCAAGACUACGCCUCAGUGUGCCUGUGAUUCUCUUAAGGAUUGCAGGUUUAUGGUGUGGUUAGUUCACUCAAAUCCACUGACUUCAUGCACGGAUACUCAACCAGUUUAUUCUUGUGAUAAGCUUGACUGGAGCGCCCUAAGUUUGCCUGUGGAUCAAUUGCAGAAUACAUUUUUUUCUUUCUUCUUAUUGUAUAGUGAAUUUUUGGAUCUUCCUCCUGAGAAAGUCUUCCGGUAUGAGACCCACAUAUUCAAGUUUUAAUAAGGCGGUAGAAAGUAAAUCGAGAAAGGAAAGUGUGCUUUUAUUGAAUUUAUCACAUUGGAUAUUGAAGUGAGCGUACGAGAUUCUUUCGAAAUCACCCAUUUUGAUAAGUUAUUUUGCUAUU